GACGAACGCUGGCGGCGUGCUUAACACAUGCAAGUCGAACGGAAAGGCCCUGCUUUUGUGGGGUGCUCGAGUGGCGAACGGGUGAGUAACACGUGAGUAUCCUGCCCUUGACUUUGUGAUAACUUCAGGAAACUGGGGCUAAUACCGGAUAGGAGCUCCUGCUGCAUGGGGGGGGUUGGAAAGUUUCGGCUGUUGUGGAUGGACUCGCGGCUUAUCAGCUUGUUGGUUGGGUAGUGGCUUACCAAGGCUUUGACGGAUAGCCGGCCUGGGAGGGUGACCGGCCACAUUGGGACUGCGAUACGGCCCAGACUGCUACGGGAGGCAGCAGUGGGAAAUAUUGCACAAUGGGCGGAAGCCUGAUACGGCAACCCCGCGUGCGGAAUGACGGCCUUCGGGUUGUGAACCGCUUUCGCCUGUGACGAAGCGUGAGUGACGGUAAUGAGUAAAGAAGCACCGGCUAACUACGUG
rnacentral:rRNA from 1 species